rnacentral:rRNA from 1 species
GAUGAACGCUGGCGGCGUGCCUAAUACAUGCAAGUCGAGCGAAUGGAUUAAGAGCUUGCUCUUAUGAAGUUAGCGGCGGACGGGUGAGUAACACGUGGGUAACCUGCCCAUAAGACUGGGAUAAAUCCGGGAAACCGGGUCUAAUACCGGAUAACACUUUGAACCGCAUGGGUCGAAAGUGAAAGGCGGCUUAGGUUGUCACUUAUGGAUGGACCCGCGGCGCAUUAGCUAGUUGGUGAGGUAACGGCUCACCAAGGCAACGAGGCGUAGCCGACCUGAGAGGGUGAUCGGCCAGACUGGGACUGAGACACGGCCCAGACUCCUACGGGAGGCAGCAGUAGGGAAUCUUCCGCAAUGGACGAAAGUCUGACGGAGCAACGCCGCGUGAGUGAUGAAGGCUUUCGGGUCGUAAAACUCUGUUGUUAGGGAAGAACAAGUGCUAGUUGAAUAAGCUGGCACCUUGACGGUACCUAACCAGAAAGCCACGGCUAACUACGUGCCAGCCGCCGCAGUAA